GGUUCUAUUUUGUUGGUUUCUAGGACCGCCGUAAUGAUUAAUAGGGACAGUCGGGGGCAUCAGUAUUCAAYYGUCAGAGGUGAAAUUCUUGGAUCRRUUGAAGACUAACUACUGCGAAAGCAUUUGCCAAGGAUGUUUUCAUUWAUCAGGAACGAAAGUUAGGGGAUCGAAGACGAUCAGAUACCGUCGUAGUCUUAACCAUAAACUAUGCCGACUAGGGAUCGGACGGUGUUAUUUCWUGACCCGUUCGGCACCUUACGAGAAAUCAAAGUGCUUGGGCUCCAGGGGGAGUAUGGUCGCAAGGCUGAAACUUAAAGAAAUUGACGGAAGGGCACCACCAGGGGUGGAGCCUGCGGCUUAAUUUGACUCAACACGGGGAAACUCACCAGGUCCAGACACAAUAAGGAUUGACAGAUUGAGAG
rnacentral:rRNA from 1 species